rnacentral:rRNA from 1 species
AGCGAACGCUGGCGGCAGGCCUAAAACAUGCAAGUCGAACGCCCGUAGCAAUACGGGAGUGGCAGACGGGUGAGUAACACGUGGGAACGUACCCUUUGGUUCGGAACAACACAGGGAAACUUGUGCUAAUACCGGAUAAGCCCUUACGGGGAAAGAUUUAUCGCCAGAGGAUCGGCCCGCGUCUGAUUAGCUUGUUGGUGAGGUAACGGCUCACCAAGGCUACGAUCAGUAGCUGGUCUGAGAGGAUGAUCAGCCACACUGGGACUGAGACACGGCCCAGACUCCUACGGGAGGCAGCAGUUAGGAAUCUUGGACAAUGGGCGCAAGCCUGAUCCAGCCAUGCCGCGUGAGUGAUGAAGGCCUUAGGGUUGUAAAGCUCUUUCAGCGGGGAAGAUAAUGACGGUACCCGCAGAAGAAGCCCCGGCUAACUUCGUGCCAGCAGCCGCCGUAAG